CCUACGGGAGACAGCAGUAGGGAAUAUUGCGCAAUGGGCGAAAGCCUGACGCAGCAACGCCGCGUGAGUGAGACGGUCUUCGGGGUGGAAAGAUCCGUUAGUGGGGACGAAACGUGACGGUACCCACAGAGGAAGCACCGGCUAACUCCGUGCCAGCAGCCGCGGUAAUACGGAGGGUGCAAGCGUUGUCCGGAAUCAUUGGGCGUAAAGAGUUCGUAGGCGGCAGGGAAAGUCUGGUGUUAAAGGCAGAGGCUCAACUUCGGUACGGCUCUGGAUACUGGCGAGCUAGAGUGCGGUAGAGGUAAGGGGAAUUCCUGGUGUAGCGGUGAAAUGCUUAGAUAUCAGGAGGAACAUCGGUGGCGAAGGCGCUUUACUGGGCCGUAAUUGACGCUGAGGAACGAAAGCCAGGGUAGCAAAUAGGAUUAGAUACCCCAGUAGUC
rnacentral:rRNA from 1 species